CCGGCGACCGGCGCACGGGUGAGUAACACGUAUGAAACCUGCCCGUAGCAGGGGGAUAAGCGGAAGAAAUUCCGUCUAAUACCGCGUAACAACCCAUGGAGGCAUCUCUGUGGGUUUAAAGGAAGCGAUUCCGGCUACGGAUGGUCAUGCGUCGCAUUAGCUUGUUGGCGGGGUAACGGCCCACCAAGGCGACGAUGCGUAGGGGUUCUGAGAGGAAGGUCCCCCCACACUGGUACUGAGACACGGACCAGACUCCUACGGAAGGCAGCAG
rnacentral:rRNA from 1 species